rnacentral:tRNA from 2 species
CGGGUGUAGUUUAGUGGUAAAACCUCAGACUUCCAAUCUGAUGUCGGGAGUUCGAUUCUCCUCACCC